rnacentral:rRNA from 1 species
AUGAUUGCGCGCGGCCUGCUCCGAUCCAAUGCCUCAUCGCAGGCAAGCAAAUUAGUGAAGUAUUUAACCAGCGCCGGGAGCUUACAAGGGCAUGCAGACAGCUUGUCAGAUGCAUCAGUCAGACAUUUCAGUUCAGCAUCGUCUCCUCAGACGAACUCAACUGAAGAAAAUGGGUUUAAGGGGCAUGGCAUGUUGGCACCAUUCACAGCUGGAUGGCAGAGCAAUGAUGUGCAUCCGCUGGUUAUUGAGAGAUCUGAGGGGUCUUAUGUUUAUGACAUCAACGGGAAUAAGUAUCUAGAUUCUCUAGCAGGACUCUGGUGUACAGCUUUAGGUGGUAGUGAGCCUCGAUUAGUCAAAGCUGCAACUGACCAAUUAAACAAGUUGCCCUUCUAUCACUCCUUCUGGAACCGUACAACCAAACCAACAUUGGAUCUUGCAGACGACCUUCUUAGCAUGUUUACUGCAAGCAAAAUGGGAAAGGCAUUCUUCACAAAUAGCGGUUCGGAAGCAAAUGACUCACAUGUCAAACUAGUAUGGUAUUAUAACAACGCAUUGGGGAGGCCAAACAAGAAAAAGUUUAUUGCACGAUCAAAAGCAUAUCAUGGAUCAACAUUAAUAUCAGCUAGUCUCACUGGUCUUCCUGCCCUGCACCAGAAGUUCGAUCUACCAGCACCUUUUGUUCUGCACACAGACUGCCCUCACUACUGGCGCUUCCAUCUUCCCGGUGAGACAGAAGAAGAAUUUGCAACAAGACUUGCUAAAAAUUUAGAGGAUCUUAUCCUCAAGGAAGGACCAGAAACAAUUGCUGCGUUCAUUGCUGAGCCUGUCAUGGGUGCUGGUGGUGUCAUCCCUCCUCCAAAGACUUAUUUUGAUAAGGUUCAAGCUGUGGUUAAGAAGUAUGACAUCCUUUUCAUAGUAGAUGAGGUCAUUACCGCAUUUGGAAGGUUGGGAACCAUGUUCGGAUCUGAUAUGUAUAACAUCAAGCCAGAUUUAGUCACCUUGGCCAAGGCUCUUUCGUCUGCGUAUGUGCCCAUUGGAGCAACUCUUGUUAGCCCCGAAAUAGCAGCUGUGGUUGAUUCUCAGAGCAAUAAGCUAGGUUCAUUUGCUCAUGGCUUUACAUACUCUGGCCAUCCAGUUGCUUGCGCUGUUGCCAUUGAAGCGUUGAAAAUCUAUCGGGAAAGGAAUAUUCCUGAUCAUGUGAAGCAAAUCGCUCCACGCUUCCAGGAGGGAACGAAGGCCUUUGCAGGAAGCCCAAUUGUUGGGGAGAUCCGUGGUGUAGGAUUGAUACUCGGAACUGAGUUCGCCAAUAAUAAAUCACGAGAUGACCCAUUCCCUGCUGAAUGGGGUGUUGGUGCUAUAUUCGGACAGGAGUGCCAGAAGCGUGGCAUGCUGGUUAGGGUUGCCGGCGACAGCAUUAUGAUGUCACCGCCUUUGACAAUGACCCCCGGCGAAGUUGAUGAGCUGGUGAGCAUAUACGGAGAAGCUAUGAAGGCAACGGAGGAGAGAGUGGCGGAGCUCAAAUCGAAGAAAAACUAG